rnacentral:rRNA from 1 species
UACGGAGGGCGCAAGCGUUGUUCGGAAUCAUUGGGCGUAAAGCGCGUGUAGGCGGCUUGGCAAGUCGGACGUGAAAGCCCGGGGCUCAACCCCGGAAUUGCGUUCGAAACUGCCUGGCUAGAGUCCCGGAGAGGAGGGCGGAAUUCCCGGUGUAGAGGUGAAAUUCGUAGAUAUCGGGAGGAACACCAGCGGCGAAGGCGGCCCUCUGGACGGUGACUGACGCUGAGACGCGAAAGCGUGGGGAGCAAACAGG